rnacentral:lncRNA from 1 species
GCACCCUCAUUUGAGAGGACAGAAGAUAUUAUUCCCUGGACUACAGACUCAGAGGGAAGAGGGGACCUGCCCGCUCUCACCUUGAGCUGGGUUCCCCAAGAAGCAGGAGCCAAGCAAGCAUGAGAGAGAGUUCAAGUACCUUACUUGGGAGGUGAUCCCAGGAAACACUGGCUAGGGAGCAGGAAGUGAGACAGAGAAGGGAAGUCAGCCCACUGCAGGAGGUGUUUUCAGUCUGUUACCGUGGAGGGCAGUGGGGCUCAGCUCUACAGGAAGCCCUGGGAGGCAGGGUAGAGUGCAUGUCUCAAGGUUUACCCCAGCCAGAGAGGAUUGCUGCAUCGUCAGCCACCAACUCCAGUCGUGGCUGAGAGCCCAUCCUGGGGCGUUUGGCGUGUCUAGCCGGUGCUACAGGCAGCACAGCGGACUCCAGUGGCCAGGAAACAGGAAUUCAACAGGAGUUGGAAAGAGCUCAGCAAGACCAGCCAAAGACUCAAAGAACAUUUGGCUCAAGGAAAUUCCAGAAGAGAAAGAGCUGGUGAAAAGGGAGGCUGGAAUCCUGGCAGCUACCUCCCACCCAGAGCAGGGAGGGUGGUACAAGCUGCCAAGGGAAAGAUCCAGGCCAGGCUGGGAAGCUACCUUCAUACAUGGGGCCUCAACUUGUUAUGAUUCAUGGAUGAAACAGGACCCAGAGGGAGACAAAGGAGUUAGCGUUCAGUGGUUGAUGCUCAGGAAGCAGGAAGAGCUCUCAAGGAAGCCCCCUUCAGAACGAGAAUGGCAGAAGAUGACCUCUCCUCACCGCACUAAUUUCCCGCAAGCUACUGGGGUCAGUACCAGUUCCCGGUAAUGACUGAUGUGGACAACAGCCUGAGACCCCGUCAGCUCUUUCUUCAGCACCGAGAGUUAGGCAUGGAGAGCACAAGGUGGCAGACAGAUGCCCCACAAAGUCCCCAGGACUCCAGUCUGAUGAAGAGAAACAAAGCAGUCUCAGCGUCUGACAGAUUUAUGUUGCAGAGAUCUUUUACGCCCUGUUUUAAUCAGUGUGUCCUGAGCAGUAAGUCUGGAGUUAGCGGUCUCUGUGUUCUGCCACAUCCCACCACGGAUACCUUGCCUUCCUUCUCUACUUAAGCAGAACUACAUCCUUCAGAGACUUAUCAAGAUGGAAUCAGAAGUCACAUGAGGGGCGCCUGGGUGGCGCAGUCGGUUAAGCGUCCGACUUCAGCCAGGUCACGAUCUCACGGUCCGUGAGUUCGAGCCCCGCGUCAGGCUCUGGGCUGAUGGCUCGGAGCCUGGAGCCUGUUUCCGAUUCUGUGUCUCCCUCUCUCUCUGCCCCUCCCCCGUUCAUGCUCUGUCUUUCUCUGUCCCAAAAAUAAAUAAACGUUGAAAAAAAAUUAAAAAAAAAAA